rnacentral:rRNA from 1 species
GAGUUUGAUCCUGGCUCAGGAUGAACGCUAGCUACAGGCUUAACACAUGCAAGUCGAGGGGCAGCAUGGUCUUAGCUUGCUAAGGCCGAUGGCGACCGGCGCACGGGUGAGUAACACGUAUCCAACCUGCCGUCUACUCUUGGACAGCCUUCUGAAAGGAAGAUUAAUACAAGAUGGCAUCAUGAGUCCGCAUGUUCACAUGAUUAAAGGUAUUCCGGUAGACGAUGGGGAUGCGUUCCAUUAGAUAGUAGGCGGGGUAACGGCCCACCUAGUCUUCGAUGGAUAGGGGUUCUGAGAGGAAGGUCCCCCACAUUGGAACUGAGACACGGUCCAAACUCCUACGGGAGGCAGCAGUGAGGAAUAUUGGUCAAUGGGCGAGAGCCUGAACCAGCCAAGUAGCGUGAAGGAUGACUGCCCUAUGGGUUGUAAACUUCUUUUAUAAAGGAAUAAAGUCGGGUAUGGAUACCCGUUUGCAUGUACUUUAUGAAUAAGGAUCGGCUA